UUUCAACCGUUCAGAUAUCAUAAAUUUUAAAUCAAUGGUCUAGACUUAUUACUCUUUUUUCUAUUUUUUUGCGUCACUCUGCUCACGGGUUUGUUUAAUCUCCACUCCUUUAGCAAUGAAUUGUGAUUGAAUUUGUGUACUGUUAUUUCAAACGACCCAUGUCCCUUGCACACCUGGUGCUUGAUAAAAUGACAAAAACAGAAUUUUAGCAACAUGUUUGCAAUAUCACCACUUCAACACAAUGGCUUGUCAAUUUAGCAGGGUUUAUAAAGGCAAAAGAUACACCAAUUUAACUCUGCAAUUGCAUAGUGUAACAUGUCACCUUUGAACAAGAAAAGUAUAGCUAGCAAAAUAACCAAUCUCCAUCAUCUUAGGCAGCUCCAUGCACAGCUCUUCCUCCAUUCCCAGCACCGCCACAACCACUGGGUGGCGCUUCUCCUUACCCGAUGCACGUGCCUCCUUGCACCCUCAAACUAUGCCUGCCACUUUUUUCGUGCUGCGACAUUUCCUAAUGUACAUGCCUUCACCUCCAUGCUCAAAUAUUACUCCCAAAUCGGGGGCAACCACACAAGUAGUUUCUCUCUUUAUACAUAUGCAAUACUAUAAUGACAUUAAGCCCGAUACAUCGUUUUAUCCGGUCUUGAAAAAAUCUGCUGGAAAGGCCAGCAGGCUACUUCAUGCCCAUCUACUGAAAUUGGGACAUUGUCACGAUCAUCGCGUUCGAAAUGCAAUUAUGGGUAUCUAUGCCAAGUAUGGAUGUAUCGAGCUUGCCAGGAAACUAUUUGAUGAAAUGCCUGAUAGAACCACUGCAGAUUGGAAUGUCAUAAUCUCUGGAUGCUGGAAGUGCGGGGAUGAAGAGGAAGCAAGUAGACUAUUUUGCAUGAUGGGCAAGUCAGAAAGGAAUCUUAUUACUUGAACCACCAUGGUUACUGGACAUGCAAAGAUGAGGAAUUCGGAGACUGCAAGGAUGUAUUUUGAUAAGAUGCCAGAAAGAAGUGUGGUAUCUUGGAAUGCAAUGCUAUCAGGAUAUUCUCUAAGUGGAGCGGCACAAGAGACUCUAAGAUUGUUCAAUGACAUGCUAAGCUCUGGAAACGAACCAGAUCAAACAACAUGGGUAACUGUCCUGUCAUCUUGCUCGUCUCUUGGUGAGCCUUGCCUUGCCAAGUCAAUUGUUAGAAAGCUGGACAAAUUGAACUUUCGUUCAAACUAUUUUUUCAAGACAGCUCUGCUUAAUAUGCAUACAAAGUGUGGGAACCUUGAGGUGGCUCAAAAGAUUUUUGAGCAAUUGGGUGUGUAUAAGAAUUCUGUCACAUGGAAUGCCAUGAUUUCUGCUUAUGCAAGAGUAGUUGAUUUAUCUUUGGCAAGAGACCUUUUUAAUAAGAUACCAGAAAGGAAUACUGUCUCCUGGAAUUCAAUGAUUGCUGGCUAUGCUUAAAAUGGCGAGUCACUAAAGGCAAUCAAGCUGUUCAAGGAAAUGAUCUCUAGUAAAGGUUCAAAACCAGAUGAGGUGACUAUGGUGAGUGUUUUUUCUGCUUGUGGGCACCUUGGAAGACUAGGUUUAGGCAAUUGGGCUGUCAGUAUCCUCAAUGAAAAUCACAUCAAGCUUAGCAUCUCAGGAUACAGUUCUUUGAUUUUCAUGUACUUAAGAUGUGGGAGUAUGGAAGAUGCUAGAAUAAUAUUUCCAGAAAUGGCAACAAGAGAUUUAGUUUCCUAUAACACAUUUGAUUUCCGGGCUAGCAGCCCAUGGGCAUGGAACCAAACCGCAUAACAUAUAUCAGUGUGUUGACUGCAUGCAGUCAUGCAGGAUUAUUGGAAGAGGGUUGGAAAGUUUUUAAAUCAAUCAAAGUUCCUGAUGUAGACCACUAUGCAUUAUGAUUGACAUGCUAGGUCAAGUUGGUAAAUUUGAAGAAGCUGUGAAAUUGAUUCAGAGCAUGCCAAUGGAGCCCCAUGCUGGAAUUUAUGGAUCUCUUUUAAAUGCUACCAACAUCCAUAAACGAGUUGAACUUGGGGAACUUGCUGCAGCUAAACUGUUCAAGGUUGAACCACAUAAUUCUGGCAAUUACAUGUUGCUUUCUAACAUAUAUGCUUUGGCUGGCAGGUGGAAAGAUGUUGACAAAGUUAGGGAUAAAAUGAGAAAACAGGGAGUGAAAAAAAUGACUGCCAUGAGCUGGGUAGAGCAUAACUCAUAAGUUCAUUGUGGAAAACUGACCACAUGAACAAUCAGAUAUCUAUAAUUUACUAGCACAUCUCAAGGUUAAAUUGAGGAGGGCAGGAUAUGUAAUUGAUAAAAUCUGGUUAUUGAGGAUGUUGAAUAACAAGAAAAGGAUUGGGUGUUUACAGUCCAAAGUUGGCUACCUGUUCUGCUUCUAGUCAGUGAUACAAGGUCAGUAAUAAAAGAAUGGGAAAAUUUAAGGAUGUGUCCAGACCACCAUAAAAGCAUCAAGGUGAUAUCUAAGUUACAAGGAAGAAAGAUAAUUGUCAAGGAUAACACCAGAUUUCACUGCCUCAGCUAGGUCAUGUUGUUCUUGCAAAGAUUAAUUCAGUUGUACUGUCCUGGAAAAGAAAGUUUAUGGAAUAUGCGAAGAUGAUAAUCUAUAUGAUGACUUAAUCAUGGAUGAAGUGGAUCUAGAACUUGAGAACUAAAAGGAACUUUUUGGGAUGGCUCUCAGCCACUCUGAAGAGCUUUUUGACAAUGGUGGAAUUGAUUGCUUAUUUGAGACAGAGGAUGCUAGUGCUGGUGAUUCCCAAUGUCAGGGUGUUGCUGCUGCUGAGGGCCCUUACAAUAGAGGUGACAAAAUCCACUACUCGAUUCAAUGCAUGCCAUUUCGAUGCAGGUCACUGACUAUGGAAUGUUGGGUCAAAAAGUUUGAAUUUAAUUUCGACCUCUAAAAUAAAACUUAAAUCCUAUAAAAAUCUUUUUUUAGGACUUUUGUCGCAUUUUUGCAACCAAUGUUGCAUUGAGCCAUUAUCAAAUUGAACUAAAAGGAGUCAUUUAAUUUUAACUUGAAACUUAAGUUCAAACUCUACAUUUUAUUACACAGAUUCAAGCAAUCUCAGCUA